AGGUCCAUCCCAAAGUCAAUGAAUGUCCAUUCAAUUCCCUCCUUCUUGUACUCCUCCUGCUCCAGCACGAACAUGUGGUGGUUAAAGAACUGUUGCAGUUUCUCAUUGGUGAAGUUGAUGCACAACUGCUCCAGGCUGUUGAACUAACGUUUGACCUUGUAGAGCUGGUCCUCGUGAUGGAAUGGCUAUGGCAGCCCUAGCUGAUGGCAGGUUCCUAGCUGGAACCUGUGACGGCAUUGGUAAUGGGACAAGAGUGGUUUUCCCUUCGAGCCACUUCUCCACAAUGUCACCCAAGCAGCCCAAGUCUGGAUGUGUGACCAGAAACUCGUGAACACUACAGUAAUAGUAUGUCCUAGGCACAAGGUCCUUCAGCAGAGUCAUCAGGAAUAAAGUGGAUGCAGAAAGUGACUCUACUGGAGCUGGAUAUGGCUAUUUCAGGGUAAACACUGCUGCCAGCCAGGAGCUCUACAAUACUGUCAAACUGACACGAUGUACAUUUACUGUCCUGGAACUGCUACAAGCACAAAGACAGGAUUUCUGAUGGAGCAGAUCUUUCCACACAUUAUUGCUGCUUAUGAACUUCAGGUCUUCAGCACAAGAUUCAUCAAUAGCAAAUCCUGCUUUGGGACUGACUUGUUCCACUCCUGCCUGUGGCCAUUCCUAAUUGAAGAAUGGCUCUAUCUCUUCCAAACAGCACCGUCUGCUGGGCUCACACUGUGGGUGACUGCCCCCUCACACAGCCAGGGCCUGUGGAGAUGGGGGGGGAGGCAGAAGAUGUACAGGAAAGCAGAUGUUCACAGCUGGUAGCAGCUCAUUUCAGCCACUAUGAACCAUGAAAGAGUUUGAAAAUCCUGCUGUAAUUUAUUCAGAUGACUCAUCCCACUGCUUUUAUCCAUUGCUGAAAUUGUUUCUCCCAUGGACUGGUCCAAGCUGACUAGUCCAAGGCAAGGAGGAAAUAGUGUGGAAUCAUAUUUGAUUCAGAAAGACUGAACACUAUUUCUUACCUCAAGUCCUGACUAGUGGAAUGGUCUUGGACUCCUUUGAGAAAGCAAGAAUUAUAGGCCCAGUUUCCAAAAGCAGCUUUGUGAUAUGUAUCCCUAAAUACCUUUUUAAAGCACUCAAACACCUGAGCAAUUAGGACUCGCAGGAAGUCUCCAUGUAGAACAAGAGAUCGUGCAUUAACUGCUCCUCACAGCACAUACCUGGGAGUCACUACUAACAUAAUGGCAGCUCAGCGCUCAGGAGAUGGCAGGAAGCUCUAAAAUAUUAGGAAUAGUUAGAAAACAAAAGGGAGAAGAGAAGGGAGUGUUAUGUAGGAAGUGUCCAUCAGUUCAUCCACACCUUCAUUACUGAUCGCACCUCUUAGAAGGGAUAGAAUUGUACUAGAAAUGCUCCAGAGAAGAGAAACAAAGAUGGUCACACAUAUGAAAUGGCUUUCCUAUGAGGAGAGUACAACCUGAGAGUUUGGGGGUGAAAAGGAGACACUUCCAAAGUUUGCAAAGUCCGGAACAGCAGAGAGAACCAUAGC